UUGCUAAUUCCAAGUGUACCGUUUGCCAAAUUAAAUUAGGGUUCAGUUAUCAACUUAUCUCAUCUGCUCAUCUUCUCGGUUUAGGGAACCAUCAUCUUCUCAGUUGGAGCCGCUACUCCAACGCCUGCGCCAGGACCACCACCUCGUUGUUGCCGUGGUAGCCACCGUGAGUUGGGUGAGUCGCCGUCGCACGCUGAAGUUAGUAGCCACUCAUCUUCUCAUCUUCUCCCAUCGCAGAAUACAGGACUAGCACGUCGAGCACGACAUCAGUGUCGCCGUCGUAGCGUUUGUAAGCUGGGACCAUCUGAAGAUAGGUCCUCUAGUUGCUGCCAGGACAACCACCUCUUCAUCAAUCAUCAUCGUUAGCUUGCCACCGUGACCUUGUUCCUUGAAAAAAAAACUGAAGGACAAGAUGGCUGAGUUUCAGGUUACUUUGUCUAAACUUAUCUCUUUUGUUUUAGAAUUGUGUUUAGUUCGUUUGUAUAUAAUCUGUUACUGUUGCCAAUAAGCAAGGCUUGGAAUUUUAUAUUUUGAAUUGUAAGUAUGAAGUUGACCUACAUACAAGAUUAAGAUUAGAUAGAAGCUAAUAUCAUUUUGUUUGAAAAUUUAGGACUAAAAGCCUAAAAUGGAUUUGACGCAAAUGGACACCAUCAAUUCUUAAUUUGAUGAGCACCAACAAGACAAACAUGCUGCUGAAUUGUUUUAAUCAAGGUUCUGAAAACCGAACCGGCCAUCGAACCGCCCUAGCUACUGGUUUAUUGGUUCAUAGGUUCAACUGGUUCGACCGUAGUUGAACCGAAAAAAUUGUUUUAUAAUAAAAUAAUAAAUAAAAUAUAAAUAAACACAUAAAAACAUAAUUAUAGUCUAAUAUAAAUCUUAAAAUAUCAUCCCAAUUAAAAGUGUUACAUAAAUCAGAAUGUUAUGAUCUCAUUCAAAUACAAAAUCAAAAGUCAAAUAACAAAAACAACCAAUCAAACAUAAACAUGCCAACAUUCAACUGAUUCAAGUUUGAUAAAAAUUUUCACUUACAAUAGAAAGCAUCAAAGCUGUUGAUGGUAAUACAACAGUUCCUCCUGGAACAUAAAGACCCACAUAAUUAAUACUUCUUGCAACUCGCUUGCAUUGAACUCCCUGGUAUUUUCAGAAGACUCAAAACAAAAAUAUUAGUGUAACACCCCAAGAAUGAACAAACACAUAAGCAUAAUUACAAAAUCAAAGGACUUGGCACAAACAUAAUGGUGAAAAUCCAUAAAUCAGGGGCAGUAAUGCACAUCUGACUAGAACCAAAAUAAAUCUUCCACGUAUUUUGUAUUUAAUUUUUCUAGGAAUAUCUAGCCUUUUCCAAAUAAAGUUGGCAAGCAACAAUUGUCAUAAAAGGACACCAUUUAACAUAUCUUUAAAUAAUUUAUUUUCAACUGUUUAAAAAAAUUGACUUAAUAAAACAUGGAUGAUCCAAAGUAAGAAUAAGAAUUGGAAUGGCAUACAUACUUUCAUGUUCUCAACAAUUCUCUUAGGUGUCUUCUGAGCAGCAUGGAAUGCAUAUAUAUUGUUGUAGGCCACAUCAAAAGCUUCCUUAAUAGCUCCAUCAAGCUGUACUCCCAUAAAAUAACAUAAAGUUAAAUAGCAGAAAAAGCUGACUCUUACUCACUCAAACCAGAAAAUUAGUUGCAGAAUUUCAAUUUCAAUUCAAGAGAAACAAACAAACAAAACCUACCUAUCAAUUAGUUGCAGAAUUUCAAUUUCAAUUUCAAUUAUUCAGUUGAAAAAUCAGUUGAAACAGGCAAACAAUUAUUCAAUCAAUUAUUCAAUCACUAUAUUAGUUCACACUUCACAGUUCACAGAAAAAUAAUUAUUCAAUCACUAUAUCACCAUAUCAGUUCACAGUUGAAUGACUUGAAUCAGAGUUCACAAAACUUCACUAUAUUAGUAAACUACAUAUGAUAUAUCACUAUAUCAGAGUUCACAGAACUUCACAGAAUCAAGCAAUUAUUCAAUCAUAAAUUCAUAGUUAAUAAAAAAAUUACCUAGAGAAUACACAAGAGAUAGUGGUUGCGGAAAGGGACAGAGACACCGAGAGACAGAGACAAAGACACCAAGCGACCAAGGGAGACAGAGACACCGAGAGACACUGAGGGAGACAGAGCAGCAGACGGUGGCUUCGAAGGUCGCGAUGGUUGCUGCACGAUGGAGGCUUCGAAGGUUGUGCUGGCUGCUGCGCGAUGGAGGCGGAGUGACGGUGCCUGUUCGAAGGAACGACGACGGCAGCGGCACGAGACGGUGGCUGGACGGAGGUGAGCUCGAUGAGAUUGAGGAGCCCUCCCCCUGACUGAGUGUGUGUGCGAGACUGAGAGGACUGAGGAGCUCGAUUAGGGCUUGGCUGUGCGAUGGAGUAAUAGUUAGGGAUUUUUGGGGAUUGAAACGGCAACGUUUAGUUGCCUUCUCUAAAAACCGAUCGGGUCACGGUUCAGUUCGACCGACCGGUUCACCGGUUCGAUGACGGUUUCUGAAAUCUACGGUUUUACCUAUUGCCCGAACUGCUUUUCUCAACGAUUCAUGAUUCGACCGGUCCGACCGGCCGGUUCGAACCGGUUUUCAGAACAUUGAUUUUAAUGACAUUGUGCACAAGAUUUGGAUUUUUAUGAGUUGCAUUAUGUCUGUAUAAGGAGGCAGGGUUCAAAGUAAAAUUCUAAAGUCCAACUUCUUGCAUUAGACUUAUCUGCCUUUGCUCGUAUUUGUGACUUGAGUAUGCCUUUGUCUUUGUGCCUCUAACUUUGGAGAUUAGAACCACUUCAGAAGAAGUUCCACCAUUCAUAUCACUAUGGUAGUUCUAUUUACUCAAAGAGCCUAAUUGAUCCUGGCUUGGCUACUUAUUUGACUUGGUUUGGUAGAAUGACAAAUGAGAAUGAAGUGCUUAUUCUUUUUGGUAACAUGCCACAUACAAAUGUGUAUUUGUUCAAUCUUUUGUUGUAUUUACAAGAACGUGUUAAUCUUAUUUGUUAUUAUGUAAAAGUUUAAAAUUGAAUUGAUAUUAUACUCUUUUUUUGUUUAUCUAUAUAAAUAAUGGAUUUUUUAUUUAC